GGAUGCUGAUGAGGUCUGGUGGCUUCCGCGGUCUUCAAAACCGUUGGCUGUGUUAAGCAGCGGCAGGUUCGAUUCCUGCCACAUCCG
rnacentral:tRNA from 1 species